UACGUAGGUGGCAAGCGUUGUCCGGAAUUAUUGGGCGUAAAGCGCGCGCAGGCGGCCUUUUUAAGUCUGAUGUGAAAAGCCCCACGGCUUAACCGUGGAAGGUCAUUGGAAAACUGGAAGGCUUGAGUACAGAAGAGGAAAAGCGGAAUUCCACGUGUAGCGGUGAAAAUGCGUAGAGAUGUGGAGGAACACCAGUGGCGAAGGCGGCUUUCUGGUCUGUAACUGACGCUGAGGCGCGAAAGCGUGGGGGAGCAAACAGG
rnacentral:rRNA from 1 species